GAUGAACGCUGGCGGCGUGCCUAAUACAUGCAAGUCGAGCGAACAGACGAGGAUCUUGCUCCUCUGACGUUAGCGGCGGACGGGUGAGUAACACGUGGAUAACCUACCUAUAAGACUGGGAUAACUUCGGGAAACCGGAGCUAAUACCGGAUAACAUGUUGAACCGCAUGGUUCAACAGUGAAAGACGGUCUUGCUGUCACUUAUCGAUGGAUCCGCGCCGCAUUAGCUAGUUGGUAAGGUAACGGCUUACCAAGGCAACGAUGCGUAGCCGACCUGAGAGGGUGAUCGGCCACACUGGAACUGAGACACGGUCCAGACUCCUACGGGAGGCAGCAGUAGGGAAUCUUCCGCAAUGGGCGAAAGCCUGACGGAGCAACGCCGCGUGAGUGAAGAAGGUCUUCGGAUCGUAAAACUCUGUUAUUAGGGAAGAACAAAUGUGUAAGUAACUAUGCACGUCUUGACGGUACCUAAUCAGAAAGCCACGGCUAACUACGUG
rnacentral:rRNA from 1 species